rnacentral:rRNA from 1 species
ACUGCUCAGUAACACGUGGACAACCUACCCUAUGGAGGGGGAUAACCCCGGGAAACUGGGGAUAAUACCCCAUAGACUAUGGAUGCUGGAAUGCUCUGUAGUUGAAAGGUCCGCCGCCGUAGGAUGGGUCUGCGGCCGAUUAGGUUGUUGUUGGGGUAACGGCCCAACAAGCCUGUAAUCGGUACGGGUUGUGGGAGCAAGAGCCCGGAGAUGGAUUCUGAGGCACGAAUCCAGGCCCUACGGGGCGCAGCAGGCGCGAAAACUUUGCAAUGCGGGAAACCGUGACAAGGGAACUCUGAGUGCCCGUUAAAUCGGGCUGUCCACCGGUUUAAAUAACCGGUGAAGAAAGGGCCGGGCAAGACCGGUGCCAGCCGCCGCGGUAAUACCGGCGGCUCGAGUGGUGGCCACUAUUACUGGGCUUAAAGCGUUCGUAGCUGGUUUGUUAAGUCUCUGGGGAAAUCUUCCGGCUUAACCGGAAGGCGUCUCAGGGAUACUGGCAGACUAGGGACCGGGAGAGGUGAGAGGUACUCCAGGGGUAGGAGUGAAAUCCUGUAAUCCUUGGGGGACCACCUGUGGCGAAGGCGUCUCACCAGAACGGCUCCGACAGUGAGGGACGAAAGCUGGGGGAGCAAACCGGAUUAGAUACCCGGGUAGUCCCAGCUGUAAACGAUGCGCGUUAGGUGUAUCAGUGACCACGAGUCACUGAGGUGCCGAAGAGAAAUCGUGAAACGUGCCGCCUGGGAAGUACGGUCGCAAGGCUGAAACUUAAAGGAAUUGGCGGGGGAG